UACGGAGGAUCCGAGCGUUAUCCGGAAUCAUUGGGUUUAAAGGGUCCGUAGGUGGACGGUUAAGUCAGAGGUGAAAUCCUGCAGCUCAACUGUAGAAUUGCCUUUGAUACUGGUCGUCUUGAGUCAUUGUGAAGUGGUUGGAAUAUGUAGUGUAGCGGUGAAAUGCAUAGAUAUUACAUAGAACACCGAUUGCGAAGGCAGAUCACUAACAAUGUACUGACACUGAUGGACGAAAGCGUGGGGAGCGAACAGG
rnacentral:rRNA from 1 species